UUAAAUAAUUUAUAUUUUCACUCAGACUACAAUCUUCAGACAGAGUUCAUAGGUGUCUUCGGCGGGCGCGGGCCCGGGGGCAGAUGCCCCCCGGCGGCCGUGAGGCGGGCCCGCCGAAGCAACAAGGUACGAUAGACACGGGUGGGAGGUUGGACCCAGAGGGCCCUCACUCGGUAAUGAUCCUUCCGCAGGUUCACCUACGGAAA
rnacentral:misc_RNA from 1 species